UUCCAGUGCAUAUAAAUGUAACGUCUACGAGCAUCCUUUUGCACAAAAAUACCAACAUUAGCUAGACUCACUAAAUACAACAUGGCCUUCAAAAAGCUGCUUUUGUUAUCAUUACUCUCUUCUUUUGUGUGCCUUAUAGGUAAGUCUUAAUUACAGCAGCUUUUGCCACAUCUCCGUAAACUGAUUGCAGUACUUUGCGCCGACCUCAGGAACACUGACUGGCAAAAUUUCGCCAAAAACGUCGCCGAACAAGGCAAAAAGAAUUUAAGUACCUUGGAAGACUUAGGAACUAGAGUAUCACAACAAGUACGCAAUAGUCGUUCAGUUCGAAAAUCACCGUUCACAUGGUGGAUAAGAGGAGGAAGAGGUGGAACUACGAUUGCUACUUUUAAAGACAGACGCUUCAUUAUACAUAACGGCACAAUGUUUGAUUGUGAUGGCAAGAUUUCCAUACGUGAUGGUUCCUGCUCUGGUACUCUUCGCAAAAGCCAAGUUUAGAAACAAAGAGUUUUGUUAUGCCAUUACCACAGGCAUUACCAUCGGCGGCUGGUAUUGCCUUUACAAUGGUCGUGCUACAUUUGAUUCCCUCGAUGACGGCCCCAAAUGUGUUAGUUCUGAUAACAGCCCGGUUUUGUUGAUAAAGGAGGAUAAGUAUGCGAAUUUGUGUGGAAGCAACGGAUAUCCUGUUACCUAUAAACACUUUACGAAUGAAAUAGGAGACCAUAGACCGGAUGUACAUUGCUCUAAUUCUACACCCUAUGUCUGUACUUACACAGAAAAUCAAGAUACCGAGGUUGUCUAUCCAGAAGACCAAGUUACCGAAACUACUGACUCGCAACAUCAAACUACUGAAGUUGUUGAAUCAAAACAUCAAGAUACCGAAGUUACCGACUCAGGACAUCAAACUACCGAAGUUGUCGACUCAGAACAUCAAACUACCGAAGCUCUUGACUCAGGACAUCACGUUGUCUACUCUGUAGGGUCAACUGUUCAUAUACUAUCGUUCGUAUUGUCACCGCUGGCGGUUCAUAUGCUCUUUUUGAAAGCCACAUUUAUCUAAAUUUUGAUUACUUUUAAAAUACGCUUUUACUUAUUUUAAUGUACGUAAAUAACUGUAAUAAAUAUGACUGUGCUAA